rnacentral:rRNA from 1 species
AUUGAACGCUGGCGGCAUGCCUUACACAUGCAAGUCGAACGGUAACGGGUCCUUCGGGAUGCCGACGAGUGGCGAACGGGUGAGUAAUAUAUCGGAACGUGCCCAGUAGUGGGGGAUAACUGCUCGAAAGAGCAGCUAAUACCGCAUACGACCUGAGGGUGAAAGGGGGGGAUCGCAAGACCUCUCGCUAUUGGAGCGGCCGAUAUCAGAUUAGCUAGUUGGUGGGGUAAAGGCCUACCAAGGCAACGAUCUGUAGUUGGUCUGAGAGGACGACCAGCCACACUGGAACGGAGACACGGUCCAGACUCCUACGGGAGGCAGCGGUGGGGAAUUUUGGACAAUGGGCGCAAGCCUGAUCCAGCAAUGCCGCGUGCAGGAUGAAGGCCUUCGGGUUGUAAACUGCUUUUGUACGGAGCGAAAAGGCUCUCUCUAAUACAGGGGGCUCAUGACGGUACCGUAAGAAUAAGCACCGGCUAACUACGUGCCAGCAGCCGCCGUAA